CAAAAUUUCAGUUAGAUAUGAGGAAUAAGAUCAAGAGACCUAUUAUAAAACAGGGUGACCAUAGUUAAUACAAGGAACACUGGAACCUUGAAAAAGUAACCUCGCUUCCUUGGUGAAAGACCCCAACAGAACUUAGAAUGCUAGUAACCAGGCACCCACAUUCUACUAAAAGCCCUAUAGGCAGCUUACUUGACAGCAAAUGCUCAAGAGAGCAAAAUGUCCUCCUGCUGGAUCCUGACUUUCCAAGGCUCUCACUUCAGGUCUUCCUGAGGGAUGCCAAGGAUGCCAACAUGGGCUUAUUUCUCACCUCAGAUGCCUCUGGCCAAUUGGCAAGGGGCACCCACAGAGAGCUCCAAUCCUGUUUCAGCUGCCAACUCAAAUGCUGCUUUCUACAUGAUAUACCUCCUGCAAUAAAGCUCUAAGAUGGAAGAAAGACUAUGAAAUAAAGAGGCAGUCCUCAUUGUGUCAUCCAGGCUGGAGUACAGCGAUGUGAUCUUGGCUCACAGCAGCCUUAACUUUACAGCAUCCUCAACCUUCCAGAAGCCUCAACCUCCUGGGCUCAAGUGCUCCUCCCACCUCAGCUUCCUGAGUAGCUGGGAUCACAGGCAUGUACUCCCACACCCAACUAAUUUUUGUAUGUUUGGUAAAGAUAGGGUUUCUCCAUGUUUUCCAGGCUGGUCUUGAACUCCUGGGCUCAAGCAGUACCCCUGCCUCAGUCUCCCAAAAUGCUGAGAUUACAAGCAUGAGCAACCACGCCCAGCUAAUUAUUUUUUAAUAGGUAUAUAUUCAUUUUAACUUCUAUUUAUAUUAUGUUUUAUAAUUCUUUAUGAUUUUCAGAUAUCUAAGUCUUAUUAAGGGGUUACAAUGCUUUUACUGAUAUGGAUAGGAGGCAGAGAAAUAUUGGGUAGAAGAGGAUGGGUCCGCAGCAAAGGCCCCACCCACCUCAAUCCUGGAAACCUGCCAUCUUCAAUGGGAACAGCCAUUCCUAUUUUCAUGCCCUAAUGUUACCUUUUCCAAGACUACUCUGACCCGCCAUGCCUCUAUACUGUGCCCAUAUAAACCCCAAGCUCCAUGAGCAGAGGAACAGAGGAGCAGAAGAGUGGCAGAGUCGCAGACUGAAGUGGCAGAGAAGGAAAGAAGAGAAACAGCAUCUGAAUGUUGAGAGGAGUUUGGCUGGAGACAGUCAGAGGGGAGAUCAGCCACAGGACCACCAAACUCCUGGGGAAGAUCAUCUUUGCACUCUAUUCCCUUUCCAGCUCCCCAUCCAUCCUGCUGCACCUCUAUCACUCAGUAAAAUCUCCUCAGUCAACAUCAUUCAAGUCCAAGUGACCUGAUUCAUCCUGGAUGCCAGACAAGGACUCGGGUACCAAGAGGGCAGGGUGUAAAAGGCUGUCACUCUGAUUCUCCACCAAGCUGAUUUGACACUAAACUGUCUGCGGAUGGCAGAGCUAAAAAAGCAUUAAUUUUAACACACCUCUAGAUGCUACCGUGGGGCUGGAGCCCAAGAGUGCUCACCCUAGCUACUGCACCUGCUCAUCUGUGUGCUCCCUAUCCCGUAAGGGGUUUGAGCACACAGAAGCCAAGCAAAGGAGCCGCACUCCUGUCCCAAGUCCCAUGAAGGGGUGAAGGAACUCCCCCAUUUCACUUUGGUACAGAAUCUCGUUUAAAAUAACAUAAAUUACAGGUUAAUUGAUCGACAAAUUAAAAAUUAUAUUAUUUGCUUUGAAAUAAAUGUACCCUUAAACGUAUGUAUACCACUGGUAAUUUUUGAAUAAGCAUUAUACACAAAUAUAACUGACAAACUCAGCAUAUUAAAUAUCAUACAUUGUUUUCUAAAUGGCUAUCAUUUUUAAGUAUUUUUAUUUUCAUGCAUGCAUACUAAUAACAGAUGCAUACAGCCUAUAUUAUGUUUCCAUUCACAAUCACUAUAAAUUCUGAAAAAGUAAAAUAUUAAGCACACAAAACAAUAUUAUCUGAUAAAAAAGUAAGGACUCAACAUUGAGCAAAGUUACAGUACUGUUUUAUUAUUUCUUCUAAGAUGUUUACAAAAGCAAAUGUUUUCAAAACAAAUACUAUUUUAAAUAAAUGCCCUAAAUAUGUCUUACUAC
rnacentral:lncRNA from 10 species